GAUGGUAUAGUUCAGAGGCAGAGCACAUGCUUAGCAUGCACAAGAUCCUGGGUUCAAUCUCCUGUACCUCCA
rnacentral:tRNA from 1 species